rnacentral:lncRNA from 1 species
UCCUGCAGAGCAAGCUUCAGGAGUCAGUGUCUGUCAGUACUUCAAGGAGGGCUGUUGUGUAUUUCCUUGAAAUGAGCUACCUACCUUCAGACGGUAACCCAAUCAAUAGCAUUUCAAGACUCCUUGGUAACUGAUGCCAUUGUGGAUGACUGGACAUUUCCCAUUUAGUGAGGCUGAUCAUUUGAGGUCAGCAGAACUGAUGGUGAAUCCACAGUGUGGUAGAGUAGACCCGACAGGGUGGCCUGCCUUGGAGCAUGUGUUUCCAUGCUCCCUUUUUACGGGAUGCAGACUUGUUUUCCUGAACGCUGAGAAAAAUUUCAUCGCGUGUGUGCUGCGUGGUGGCAUAGGCCACAGGGCUAAGGGGGAGAGACAUGGAGUAUGCUUCACUGCCAGAGUCCAGGUGAGGGGUGCAGGUGGAAGGAAAGCUAGGCCCUCGGUGGCAGAUGUCUGAGGGAAGUAGGACACUAUGUACCUGCACGA